GGUGAUGCGACGCCGGAACUCUAUGAGGUGAUGAUGGACCGAGAAGCGAUGAUGAACCUCGUAGCUCAAUCGUCUGACAAUCACUUGCGGUUCAUCGACGCUCGCGANGACCUGCUGAUGACGCGCGCCAACAACUGGCGAGACCAUCUUGUGUCCGGGACUAAUGACAAUGAAAUAAAAAGGAACAGAGAUAGAAUACUGGAGAUUAAUUACUUUAUUG